rnacentral:rRNA from 1 species
GAAGGAUCAUUAACGAGUUUUGAAAGGGGUUGUAGCUGGCCUUCCGAGGCAUGUGCACGCCCUGCUCAUUCCACUCUACACCUGUGCACUUACUGUGGGUCUCAGGCGAGCGUCGGUCGCUUCGCGGCGUCGUCGUUCAACUGGGCUCACGUUUUACUACAAACUAUUAAAGUAUCAGAAUGUCUACUGCGAAUUAACGCAUUUAAAUACAACUUUCAGCAACGGAUCUCUUGGCUCUCGCAUCGAUGAAGAACGCAGCGAAAUGCGAUAAGUAAUGUGAAUUGCAGAAUUCAGUGAAUCAUCGAAUCUUUGAACGCACCUUGCGCUCCUUGGUAUUCCGAGGAGCAUGCCUGUUUGAGUGUCAUGAAAUUCUCAACCUAACGAGUCUUUGCGGGCUCGGUAGGCUUGGACUUGGAGGUUCUUGUCGGCCUAACGGUCGGCUCCUCUUAAAUGCAUUAGCUCGGUUCCUUGCGGAUCGGCUCACGGUGUGAUAAUUGUCUACGCCGCGACCGUUGAAGCGUUUUGGCCGGCUUCUAAUCGUCUCGUUGGAGACACUACUCUUUAUGACCUUCUGACCUCAAAUCAGGUAGGACUACCCGCUGAACUUAAGCAUAUCAAUA